rnacentral:rRNA from 1 species
GUGGGUAGUUUGACUGGGGCGGUCUCCUCCUAAAGAGUAACGGAGGAGCACGAAGGUUGGCUAAUCCUGGUCGGACAUCAGGAGGUUAGUGCAAUGGCAUAAGCCAGCUUGACUGCGAGCGUGACGGCGCGAGCAGGUGCGAAAGCAGGUCAUAGUGAUCCGGUGGUUCUGAAUGGAAGGGCCAUCGCUCAACGGAUAAAAGGUACUCCGGGGAUAACAGGCUGAUACCGCCCAAGAGUUCAUAUCGACGGCGGUGUUUGGCACCUCGAUGUCGGCUCAUCACAUCCUGGGGCUGAAGUAGGUCCCAAGGGUAUGGCUGUUCGCCAUUUAAAGUGGUACGCGAGCUGGGUUUAGAACGUCGUGAGACAGUUCGGUCCCUAUCUGCCGUGGGCGCUGGAGAACUGAGGGGGGCUGCUCCUAGUACGAGAGGACCGGAGUGGACGCAUCACUGGUGUUCGGGUUGUCAUGCCAAUGGCACUGCCCGGUAGCUAAAUGCGGAAGAGAUAAGUGCUGAAAGCAUCUAAGCACGAAACUUGCCCCGAGAUGAGUUCUCCCUGAGACUUUAGGUCUCCUGAAGGAACGUUGAAGACGACGACGUUGAUAGGCCGGGUGUGUAAGCGCAGCGAUGCGUUGAGCUAACCGGU